UGGAUCACCUCCUAACAGGGAGACAACAAAAUGUUUAAUAUUAAUUUUGUCACCUUAGGUCGAUCGGUAUCUCACAUUCUUAAUUUAUUAAGGAUUUUAUUUCCUAAGUUUUUUCUAGGUCACACCCAUUACUUUUCCUGGGCCAUUAGCUCAGGUGGUUAGAGCGCACCCCUGAUAAGGGUGAGGUCCCUGGUUCAAGUCCAGGAUGGCCCAUAUCUCUAUGUUGGGGGUAUAGCUCAGCUGGUAGAGCGCCUGCUUUGCAAGCAGGAUGUCAGCGGUUCGAGUCCGCUUACCUCCACUGAUUACCACCUCUUCCAUGAUUCAUAGAAGGGAAUUGUUUUGAGUUGUGAUCACAUCUGAACGAAUCUAGCUUCCUAAUUUAUUUAAUUAAGAUGCUGGACUCAUUGAAUUAAUUUCAUUGUUUUCAGAGAACCUUGACAACUGCAUAGAUUAUUUUUUAAAGACAAUAAGCAUCUUUAAAUGAUGCAGAUUUUUUAUUUGUGCGAAUGCAUUAAUAACAAUUCUAUUAAGCUGAUGCUUCAAUUUUUGAAGUUAUUGGUCAAGCUACAAAGGGCUCACGGAGGAUACCUAGGCACACAGAGGCGAUGAAGG
rnacentral:tRNA from 1 species